rnacentral:rRNA from 1 species
AGAGUUUGAUCAUGGCUCAGAACGUACGCUGGCGGCACGCCUAACACAUGCAAGUCGAACGAAGUAGCAAUACUUAGUGGCAGACGGGUGAGUAACAUGUAGGUAUCUGCCCUUUGGCCUGGAAUAACACGAGGAAACUUGUGCUAAUACCGGAUAAGUCUUUACGGAGAAAGCUUUAUGCACCAUUGGAUGAGCCUGCACUUGAUUAGUUUGUUGGUGGGGUAAUGGCCUACCAAGACUGUGAUCAAUAGCUGAUUUGAGAGGAUGAUCAGCCACAUUGGGACUGAGACACGGCCCAAACUCCUACGGGAGGCAGCAGUGGGGAAUCUUGCACAAUGGAGGAAACUCUGAUGCAGCGAUGCCGCGUGAGUGAAGAAGGCCCUUGGGUUGUAAAGCUCUUUCGUCGGGGAAGAAAAUGACUGUACCCGAAUAAGAAGGUCCGGCUAACUUCGUGCCAGCAGCCGCGGUAAUACGAAGGGACCGAGCGUAGUUCGGAAUUACUGGGCUUAAAGAGUUCGUAGGUGGUUGAAAAAGUUAGUGGUGAAAUCCCAGAGCUUAACUCUGGAACUGCCAUUAAAACUUUUCAGCUAGAGUAUGAUAGAGGAAAGCAGAAUUUCUAGUGUAGAGGUGAAAUUCGUAGAUAUUAGAAAGAAUACCAAUUGCGAAGGCAGCUUUCUGGAUCAUUACUGACACUGAGGAACGAAAGCAUGGGUAGCGAAGAGGAUUAGAUACCCUCGUAGUCCAUGCCGUAAACGAUGUGUGUUAGACGUUGGAAAUUUAUUUUCAGUGUCGCAGGGAAACCGAUAAACACACCGCCUGGGGAGUACGACCGCAAGGUUAAAACUCAAAUGAAUUGACGGGGACCCGCACAAGUAGUGGAGCAUGUGGUUUAAUUCGAAGAUACGCGCAGAACCUUACCAACACUUGACAUGUUCGUCGCGACUCUAAGAGAUUAGAGUUUUCGGUUCGGCCGGACGAAACACAGGUGCUGCAUGGCUGUCGUCAGCUCGUGUCGUGAGAUGUUGGGUUAAGUCCCGCAACGAGCGCAACCCUCACUUUUAGUUGCCAUCAUUUAGUUGGGCACUCUGAAAGAACUGCCAGUGAUAAGCUGGAGGAAGGUGGGGAUGACGUCAAGUCCUCAUGGCCCUUACGUGUUGGGCUACACACGUGCUACAAUGGUAUCUACAACAGGAAGCAAGACUGCGAAGUUAAGCAAAUCCCUAAAAGAUACCUCAGUUCGGAUUGCACUCUGCAACUCGAGUGCAUGAAGCUGGAAUUACUAGUAAUCGUGGAUCAGCGUGCCACGGUGAAUGCGUUCCCGGGUCUUGUACACACCGCCCGUCACACCAUGGGAGUUGGUUCUACCUUAAGGCAAGGUUUAAAACCCUUGACCACGGUAUAGUCAGCGACUGGGGUGAAGUCGUAACAAGGUA